rnacentral:rRNA from 1 species
GUAACAAGGUUUCCGUAGGUGAACCUGCGGAAGGAUCAUUACAGAGUUAGGGUCCUCUGGGCCCGAUCUCCCAACCCAUUGUUUACUUGACCUAUGUUGCUUCGGCGAGCCCGCCUUUGUCGGCCGCCGGAGGACCGUAACACGUCCUCUGGCCCGUGCUCGUCGGUGGCCAACUCUUAUAAAUUCUUAACUAAACGUGUAUUUAUCUGAGUACCAUAUGUUAAUAAAAGCAAAACUUUCAACAACGGAUCUCUUGGUUCUGGCAUCGAUGAAGAACGCAGCGAAAUGCGAUAAGUAAUGCGAAUUGCAGAAUUCCAGUGAGUCAUCGAAUCUUUGAACGCACAUUGCGCCCUUUGGUAUUCCGAAGGGCAUGCCUGUUCGAGCGUCAUUAUCACCCCUCAAGCCCUCGGCUUGGUGUUGGACGGUCGGUGAAAGGAGACUUUCACCCCUCCCAAAGACAAUGACGGCGGCCUCGUUGGACCCCCGGUACACUGAGUUCUUCACGGAACACGUACUGGACUAUAGGGUCUGCGGGCACGGUCUACCUCCCACUACGGGAGAAUCUUUUUUACAAGGUUGACCUCGGAUCAGGUAGGAAUACCCGCUGAACUUAAGCAUAU